ACGAACGCUGGCGGCGUGCUUAACACAUGCAAGUCGAACGGAAAGGCCCUGCUUUUGUGGGGUGCUCGAGUGGCGAACGGGGGAGUAACACGUGAGUAACCUGCCCUUGACUUUGGGUUAACUUCAGGAAACGGGGGCUAAUACCGGAUAGGAGUUCCUGCUGCAUGGUGGGGGUGGGAAAGUUUCGGCGGUUGGGGAUGGACUCGCGGCUUAUCAGCUUGUUGGUGGGGUAGUGGCUUACCAAGGCUUUGACGGGUAGCCGGCCUGAGAGGGUGACCGGCCACAUUGGGACUGAGAUACGGCCCAGACUCCUACGGGAGGCAGCAGUGGGGAAUAUUGCACAAUGGGCGGAAGCCUGAUGCAGCAACGCCGCGUGCGGGAUGACGGCCUUCGGGUUGUAAACCGCUUUCGCCUGUGACGAAGCGUGAGUGACGGUAAUGGGUAAAGAAGCACCGGCUAACUACGUG
rnacentral:rRNA from 1 species